rnacentral:lncRNA from 1 species
GUGACAAAAUGCAAGGACUUGGACUCUGGAGGGUGGUGGCGCGAUGCAAGAAAAGGAGAUGGUGGAAAUCGAUCCGUAUAAUCCAUGUUUUUUUUUUGAUAGAAAGAAGCAAUAUUAUAUUAAUUAAUUGACACCAGAUAUGAAUGUGGGAUACAACCACGGAUGCAGCCAAAACAAAAAUGUACGAGCGAGGGUACAAUCCAUGUUUUAAUGAACUGGUUUGGUCUCACUAAGCUUUCAGUCUCAUCAGCUAAUUACUUGGCUGAUGGCAUUUAGUGGUGGGUGAGGCCCAUUAUACCCAGAUAGAAUGUUUUCAGCAUCAAUUACAGCUUCUUCCCUCAAAUUGAAUGUGCGAUAAAAAUUAAAACUCUUGCACCAAGAACCAGAUGCAAUUCCUCAACCAGGUUUUGAGAGCUGUGAAUUACUUACCUUGUCCUUGAACUAGGUUUUAAUGGCUAUAGAUCUCUCUUCUUGUGAUGCCCAACCAGUGUCCCCAUGCUUUCUAUUAAUUAACGAGAAAGAGAGCAUAUUCUCGUUUUGUGCAGCUACCAAGAUUUCAAGGCUUGUGGUGUGCAUUGAAACUCCAGCUGGCUGCUAACCUAGCGGUGGCACCGCUGGCAUAUGAAGCUGGAACGAGAAAAU